AUGGGUGCUCAGCUGCGUAGGCGCGAUGGCCUUCUUUUCUUUCUGCAGGUGGCCUUGCGGUUUUCUCCAGUCCACAGCCGGGCUGGCGUCGGCCCAGAGAGGGGGGCUCGGCAGUCUGGUUCCCCGAGCGUCUCAUGGCGGGCCCUCGCCAGAUUCAAGGGGUUCCCUUGGCCAGUUUCCUUACGGCGCGGCGGAGCUGGCCCUCGUCGUCCCUGGUAGGGGGCAGCCUCACAGCCUGGACCGGCCUGUGCAAUUUCCCCCAUCCCUCCACGUCUACAUUUUAUUUUUUUCUUUUUCUUUUUUUAGGACAAUGCAUGAUGGAAAUGCAGCCACAUCAUAGCAGGCAGGUUCAUGAAAUCUGCCCUCCUCCCACCGUUUCUUGACCCCAUUUUCUUAUUUUUUUUUUUAACAGGUUCUCACCCAGGCUGGAGUGCAGUGAUGUGGUCUCAGCUCACUGCAACCUCUGCCUCCCGGGUUCAAGCGAUUCUGUUGCCUCAGCUUCCUGAGUAGCUGGGAUUACAGGUGUGCGCCACCACGCCUGGCUAAUUUUUGUACCUUUAGUAGUGACGAGGUUUCGCCCUGUUGGUCAGGCUGGUCUCGAACUCCUGACCUAAGGUGAUCCGCCUGCCUCGGCCUCCCAAAGUGCUGGGUCUAUAGGCAUAAGCCACCACACCCGGCCCUUGACCCCAUUUUCUGUCUUCCUAGAAAUCACCAAGGUUGCAACUCCUGACUGUCCUGGCUCACAGGCUCCAGCUUACUUAAGGACCCCACGGUGGGGGCUGCCCACUUGCACACCUAUGCUAGGCGC
rnacentral:lncRNA from 1 species